UGGGGAAUAUUGGACAAUGGGCGCAAGCCUGAUCCAGCCAUGCCGUGUGGAUGAUGAAGGCCCUAGGGUUGUAAAGUCCUUUUAACGGGGAAGAUAAUGACGGUACCCGUAGAAUAAGCCCCGGCUAACUUCGUGCCAGCAGCCGCGGUAAUACGAAGGGGGCUAGCGUUGCUCGGAAUUACUGGGCGUAAAGCGCACGUAGGCGGAUUUCUAAGUCAGGGGUGAAAUCCCGGAGCUCAACUCCGGAACUGCCUUUGAUACUGGAAAUCUUGAGUUCGGGAGAGGUGAGUGGAACUGCGAGUGUAGAGGUGAAAUUCGUAGAUAUUCGCAAGAACACCAGUGGCGAAGGCGGCUCACUGGCCCGAUACUGACGCUGAGGUGCGAAAGCGUGGGGAGCAAACAGG
rnacentral:rRNA from 1 species